GAUGAAGAACGCAGCGAAAUGCGAUAAGUAGUGUGAAUUGCAGAAUUCAGUGAAUCAUCGAAUCUUUGAACGCACAUUGCGCCCCUUGGUAUCCCGAGGGGCAUGCCUGUUCGAGCGUCAUUUCACCACUCAAGCCUGGCUUGGUGUUGGGCGACGUCCCCUUUGGGGACGCGCCUCGAAACGCUCGGCGGCGUGGCACCGACUUUAAGCGUAGCAGAAUCUUUCGCUUUGGAAGUCGGGGCCCCGUCUGCCGGAAGACCUACUCGCAAGGUUGACCUCGGAUCAGGCAGGGAUACCCGCUGAACUUAAGCAUAUCAAUAAGCGGAGGA
rnacentral:misc_RNA from 1 species